UAAGGAAUAUUGGACAAUGGAGGCAACUCUGAUCCAGCCAUGCCGCGUGAAGGAAUAAGGCCCUAUGGGUUGUAAACUUCUUUUAGACGGGACAAAACCCCUUUACGUGUAAAGGGUUGAUGGUACUGUCAGAAUAAGCAUCGGCUAACUUCGUGCCAGCAACCGCGGUAAUACGAAGGAUGCAAGCGUUAUCCGGAAUUAUUGGGUUUAAAGGGUGCGUAGGCGGACUAAUAAGUCAGUGGUGAAAGCCUGCAGCUUAACUGCAGAAUUGCCAUUGAUACUGUUAGUCUUGAGUACAGUUGAGGUAGGCGGAAUGUGUCAUGUAGCGGUGAAAUGCUUAGAUAUGACACAGAACACCGAUUGCGAAGUCAGCUUGCUAAGCUGUAACUGACGCUGAGGCACGAAAGCGUGGGGAGCAAACA
rnacentral:rRNA from 1 species